UGCAAGUCGAACGCAGUAGCAAUACUGAGUGGCAAACGGGUGAGUAUAAUGUGGGAAUCUGCCUUUUGGUUUGAAAUAACACGGGGAAACUAGUGCUAAUACCGAAUAAGCCCUUACGGGGAAAGUUUUAACGCCGAAAGAUGAGCCCGCACUUGAUUAGCUAGUUGGUAAGGUAAAAGCUUACCAAGGCAAUGAUCAAUAGCUGUUCUUAGAGGAAGACCAGCCACAUUGGGACUGAGACACGGCCCAGACUCCUACGGGAGGCAGCAGUGGGGAAUCUUGCACAAUGGGGGAAACCCUGAUGCAGCGAUGCCGCGUGAGUGAAGAAGGCCUUUGGGUUGUAAAACUCUUUCGUCGGGGAAGAAAAUGACUGUACCCGAAUAAGAAGGUCCGGCUAACUUCGUGCCAGCAGCCGCGGUAAUACGAAGGGACCUAGCGUAGUUCGGAAUUACUGGGCUUAAAGAGCUCGUAGGUGGUUAAAAAAGUUGAUGGUGAAAUCCCAAGGCUCAACCUUGGAACUGCCAUCAAAACUUUUUAGCUAGAGUGUGAUAGAGGUAAGUGGAAUUUCUAGCGUAGAGGUGAAAUUCGUAGAUAUUAGAAAGAACACCAAAUGCGAAGGCAACUUACUGGGUCACUACUGACACUGAAGAGCGAAAAGCAUGGGC
rnacentral:rRNA from 1 species